UGACUCAGCAAACUCCUCUUUUGUGUGGUUAUCUGGGACUCCUUUGGGAGGGAACAUUUUAAAUUUUCCAUUUCAAAGGGUUCCAUUGGCACUCUUGCACUGUUAUUCUCUGCCUACCCUGAGACUUGAGUUCUCCUGGACUCGAAUCUCCAGCCACAGAGUCCAGAAGCCCAUACCUCCACAUUCUGUGACUGUUCCCAAACACAGGGAGAAUUUGCAGAAAAUAUGUAUAAAAACCUUGCCAUUCUUCGCAAUAAAACCCCACAUUACAAACUGGUGAAAACGGAGGAUUUUAGCUUGAACAGGUUUUUCCUCUAUUUGAAAUCAAUCAUUUCCCUUUUACAAUUUUGGAGUGAAGUUUCAAAAUCAGUACGCACCCACUCCCAGGUUUAUCCUUAUGUAAAGUGCCCCCUCUGCACAUGCAACAUUUAAUAAACCUUGAAAAUAUGAUGCUAAGUGAAAGAAGCCAGUCACAAAAGACCACAUGUUGUGUAAUUCCAUUUAAAUAAAAUAUCCAAAAUAGACCAAUACAUAGAAACAGAAAGUAGAUUAGUGGUGGCCCGGGGUUAGGGGAGUUGGGGGGAACUGGAGGGAUAUGGGGUUUACUUCAAGGUAAUGAAAAUGAUCUAAAACUUACUGUGGUGCUGUUUGCACAACUGUGCAAAUAUACUGAAAACCGUUGAAUUUUACACUUUCAAUGGGUGGCUUCUGUGAUAUGUUAUUAAUAUUUCUCAAUAAAACUUCAAAAAAAAA
rnacentral:lncRNA from 10 species